CUGAGUUCAAACCUUAGCCUCGGCAUGGUGCUCUACCCAACUUUUUCUUUUUUUAGUACUUGGAAAACAUUAACAUCUAUAAUAAAUCCAAAAAUCUCAUCCAUUAUUCUGUAAGAGACCAACAUACAAAAUUGACGAAACACAAAGUCACGGUCUCACAACAUGUAAUUAAACGGGCUACACGUGUUUCGCUCUAGUUAGAGCAUCAUCAGGCCUUUAGAAGCCAUCCACACACUUAUGCUGUAACUGAUGAUGCUCUAACUAGAGCGAAACACGUGUAGCCCGUUUAAUUACAUGUUGUGAGACCGUGACUUUGUGUUUUUCUUUGUUUUUCGUCAAUCUAUAGUAAAUACAGAGAGAAAAGGAAAGGUCUUAUUAUAUAUUAUAAUCAAAAAUAAAUUUCAUUGAAAUAUUACUAACUUAUUUCUGGGUAUCAUGCUUCAGAGAACCAUGAUGUGUUACAAUACGCUCCGCUCUUUAAUUUUAGUUUAGUAGAAAAUAUUCUCAAAACCUACAUAUAUCAAAAUUAUGUCAGGGUUCUAAAAUGAAUCGGUAAUAAAAUCGUAAACCAGAUCAACAUUGGAAAUAAUUUAAAAAAUUUGCUUUGGUCCGAUUGAAAAAAGUACUAUACUACCAAAUAGUUACAUCUAUUCUGUAGCAAUAAAAGUUAUAAAAUUCUGUCUAUUAUUAAUUUUAAUAUUAUAAAGUGUAUCGUUUAACUCUUAGCCAUUAUUUAUAAUUUAAUUGUUAAUUAUGCCUAAAAAAACGAAUUAACAACUUUGGUAUUGUUUGGAAGGUAAACAGCUUAAUUCCUUUAUGUAAAGCCACCUUAACAUGUUUUUGCAUAAUUCUGACUCACGUUGGUUGCUAUCGGGCUUAAGCCAUAAAAAUCGAAGAAAAAAAGAAGAAGACGAAGAGACUUUCACUUGUCAUUUCAAUGUCACUUUCCGGCCCACAAGCAUAAACGCCACCGGCAACGGAAGUUCCCAAAAUCCAAACAAAUGUUGGAAGAUAUUUUUAAGUCUCCGCAUCUUUCUUACUUUCCUAUAUGAAAAUAAAAUGUAAGUAUCACAAUUACACACAUACAAGUUUUUUUUUUAAUUCAGUUUCAUAAUUACCAAUUUUUAGUGAAUAAUCCUGAAAUUUAUGAAAAUACAUACAUUUUAAGGUUAUGUCAUAAUGUUUUGAUUGUUAUAUUUGAUUUUGUUUUUGUUAUUUUAGUGGACUACACCAACAAAGGUUAUGUGUUUUGCACCAGAUUGAAAGCAUCAUAGCGAAAAACGGACCUGUCAUAUCUUUAAAUUUUCAAAAGAGCCCCUGGAAAAAGAAAAAUGAAUAUCUUUGCCAAGGAAUAGGCAAAUGGAUAAAAAACCUUCAGUCCAUGCAUUGGUAUGUAAUUGUUGACAAAAAUACAAUGAAUGGCCUCACUACUUUUCCACAUGCAAAGAGGUUAACCAAGGAGAAAUUAAAGAAAUUGUCAAAAACCUAGGUAAAUACAGAAUUGCUUAGUACAAACAUAUCUAUACCCAGUACAAGUUCGUCCACUUCUUUGAAGCAUGGUACUUCAAACAGAGACACUGUCAACAAUUUUGUAGAAGGUGAGCCGGUGUCAAAUUCCAGUAAGGGACAUGAUUUCAAUUUUGCACCAACAGCAGAGCUUAAAUUCAUUUUGCCGCAAAAAACUGGAGGAUGUGAAAGAAAAAAGUGCAGAAGUUAAAAUUAAGUUUUUCAUAUGAGCACAUAAAAAAUAAUCAUGACAAAGUUCAGUUGUAUACAGGUUUGACAUGUAAUAAAUAUUUUUGUAAUCUUA
rnacentral:lncRNA from 1 species